GAUGAACGCUGGCGGCGUGCCUAAUACAUGCAAGUCGAGCGAACGGACGAGAAGCUUGCUUCUCUGAUGUUAGCGGCGGACGGGUGAGUAACACGUGGAUAACCUACCUAUAAGACUGGGAUAACUUCGGGAAACCGUAGCUAAUACCGGAUAAUAUUUUGAACCGCAUGGUUCAAAAGUGAAAGACGGUCUUGCUGUCACUUAUAGAUGGAUCCGCGCUGCAUUAGCUAGUUGGUAAGGUAACGGCUUACCAAGGCAACGAUGCAUAGCCGACCUGAGAGGGUGAUCGGCCACACUGGAACUGAGACACGGUCCAGACUCCUACGGGAGGCAGCAGUAGGGAAUCUUCCGCAAUGGGCGAAAGCCUGACGGAGCAACGCCGCGUGAGUGAUGAAGGUCUUCGGAUCGUAAAACUCUGUUAUUAGGGAAGAACAUAUGUGUAAGUAACUGUGCACAUCUUGACGGUACCUAAUCAGAAAACCACGGCUAACUACGU
rnacentral:rRNA from 1 species